CAGGUUUGUAAAUUUCUAGGGCACUUGCAUUGGCCAUGAAAUAUUGCAAUGAGGAGUACUCCGGAGGUAAUUAAAUUAGAUAUCCAAGAGAAAUGUUCUUUCUUGCAGUAUUUUGGGAAAACCUGGAGGAUUGUAAUUUGCUGACUUAUUUAUUUCAAGGGAAAAGGAAGCAUUUUGGGGAUGUUUACUAAAUAUAUCUUCAACAGUUGAAAAACUUUCCAGAUAAUUCUCAGAUAAGUAUGAAAUCCCUUUCUUAAAAAAAAAAAAAAAAAAAAAAAAAAAAAGGCUAUUUUUUCUCUUCUGUCUCUUUCUUCUUCUUUCCCUUGUCCUUAACUUCUAUGCACCAUCCCCCUUGAAGCUAUCAAUGUAUUGACUUCAAAUAUCAUGUGUUCACGUAAAAUUUAAAAUUGGACCUACAUUCUGUAACACCAAUCACAAGGAAACUAAAAAGCUAAAAAAUAAAAUUUUAAACUCAAGUCCACGAUUUCUAACCUUUUGCAAGUAUCAUGUCUUCUUCACAAAAUUCAUGUGAAUAAAAUAUUUUAGUACAGAGGAUGUGUAAUUCUGAUGUAAAUACUCCUUUAAAAAUCACUUAUUUUUUGCUUCACAAAAAUGUCGAGCUCUGAAAAGAUAAAGACACAGAAAAGAAUGAUUCCAUAUGAAAGAUUACUGAAGAGAUAAGGCAUGAAAUGUAACACAUAAUCCGGGGCUGUAUCCUGGACCAGGAAAAAAAAUUCUAAAAAAUAUAAUUGGAACAACUAGUGAUACUUGAACAUGUAUUUAUUGUAUAUUAGAUGAUAAUUUUGUAUCAAUGUUAAUUUCCUCAUUUUUUAUAUUUGUAUUGAUGUUAUUAUAAAAGAUGUAAGAGAAUAUUCUUAUUUUAGGAGGUAUACAUUAAAGAAUUUUGAGUUAAAAGAUAAUUUUUUUUUUUUUUUUUUAGACUGAGUCUUGCUCUGUUGCCCAGGCUGGAGUGUGGUGGCACAAUCUGGGCUCACUGCAACCUCCACCUCCUGGGUUCAAGCAAUUCUUCUCCCUCAGCCAUCCGAGUAGCUGGGACUACAGGCUGAAGCACAAAGGCAUUAUCAAAGCUCACUGCAGCCUCAAGUUCCUGGGCUCAAGUGAUCCUCUCAUCUCAGCCUCGCAAGUAGAGCACUAUCUUUAUCAAGGGAUUUGAUGCAUGAACACUGUAGAUGAUUGAAUUGAGCUCGGCUGGAUGACAGCAUGUGUUUGUUUUCCUCUUAUUAUUCAUGAUUUACAAUUUUAUCCUUCAAAAAGAAAUCUGUGUUAUGGUAUUUUCUAAGGGAAAAGAAUUCUUCCACAAUUAGGCCCUCUUUAGAACAUAGUUUUGCCCAUUCUAAAAAAUGUAAACAGAAGUCUUAACAAUUGAGGGGUUAGGAUUGAUGGAAUGGCCACGAUGGACAAAAUUUAAGCCUUGGAAUUACUUGGGGAUUUAUGCUGCAUUUUCCUGUUUUUUCCCCCCAGUUUGGUUUUAGUUUGCUAAAUAUCUUUCGUUAACUAAUCAUCAAGGGUAGCGCCUAUAUGCAUAAUGUCAAGUGAAGCAGAGGGUUGGGAAGGACAGUCAGAAGAGAAGACAUCCAAGUCUUAUACACUGAAAAAUAAAGCGUGUUUUUUAAAAUUCAUAAAAUAGCAAUGCCUCUUGCAACACAACUGACCAUAUUUAUAUAAAUAUUAUAUUUUAGUGCUUGAUAGUUAUGAAAAAUGAAAUAAGGAGAGCAUAGAAAGUAUUACUUUCAAAAAUUUGAGGGAAAAAUAGUUUAAAUUCACCAAAUGAAAUCUAAAAUUCAUUUAGAAAAUCAAAACUUUUAUUUGGAAUGAGAUUGUGUAAUGUAUUUGAUUCACAUUAUAAGUAAAAUUAUAUAUCCUGCAUUUGUGAGUAGAACACACAUAGAAAGAAGAUGAGUUUGUUUUACUUUAAACUAAUGAAUUUCUUAGAAAAUGCAAAACAUUUGUGAGUAGAUGUUGCUGAAUGCUAACAUGAGAAAAGAUUGAGUCAUUUUAUUGACCCAUAUAUUAGCUAGGAAUCCAAAAUAUAGAUAACCAUUUUGUGAAGCCAGAAAAAAUAUGUUUAAAAUCAUUACUUUUUGUAGUUCUUUUUCUUCUAUAUCAGUGCUAUUGUUUAUAGCUGCAGAACCUUGAGGCUUCUAGUUUGUAUUUUUCUUCCCACGGCAAUGAUUUGUGGUAUUAGUGUAGGUCAUUGAUUCUGUACUGCUGAGCUAUCCAGCUUAUGGCAGACAAGGGGGCUGAGUGUGUCUUUAAAGUGCCCUUUACUUUCAAAAUUCAAGUUGUAGAAAUGACACCUCUGGUUUUAUAACUGUGCAGCUUGCACUGUGUUGCAUAAAAUGUUCUCCCAAGUGGACAAGGUUACUUGCUUUGGAGAUUAAUUCUCAUUUUUUGUGUUCAAGUUGGGUUGAAAAUAAGAUCCUAUCUUAGAAUAGGAUUCUAUUCUUAGAGUAGGAUCUUAUUGCAUAAGAAUCCCUCAUAAAAAUAGGAUCUUAUUGCAUACCUUUGCAGUCUGGGUCCUGCAACUAUAUUAAGUAAUAGUAGUAAGUAAGCCAAAACUUACCUUACAUAUUAUCUGGUGAAGUAAAUAUGCCAGGCAUUUAGCAGUGAGUGCUUCAUCAUUCAAGGAUUUUGAGGCUAAUAAUGUUAAUAUCAGAAUUAAUCAAUCUUGCUAUAAGAUAAUUUACACUGCUAUAUAAUCUACAGUUAUAUUUUUAAGCAAAGGUUAUAUAAUUUUAAAACUCUGCUGACAAACUAUCUAGAAGGAUUACUAAGUAAAAGAUGAGAUGAUAAAUCUUUCAAUUCCAUCAAUAUUGAGAUUACUAUCCUAUAUAUAUAGGACUAGCAAAGGUAGCUCUAUACUAUUGAAUAAAUAAAUUCAUAUAAUCAUAAGAUUUUACAAUGUAGUUUUAUUUUUCUGAAAUAUUCUUUUAGUUUUUUUCAAAACUUUUCCUGAUAAGUUCCUACCUCUUUUUCCAGGUCUACUUUGUUGUUUUUAUUUUGUAAUUUUGGUAUAAGUUUAUUCAUCUACUGUGGAUUUCCAUCAAACAACACAUCUUCAUUGCAGCUACAUUAAAAUACAAUUUUCUCCCUCAUAUAGUUAUGUGAGAAUAGAGAUCAUACCUGUACUGCUCAUCAUGAUAUUUUCAACAUCUGGUACUGUGGUUUGAAUUGGAUCUGAACACAUUCUCUGGAGUUAAACUGCCGAGGUGUAAAUACUGGCUCAGUCACUUAGCAAUUAUGUGAGGUUGGCUAAAUGACUUCACCAGUCUUUAUGAAGAUUAAAUGAUGUAAUAUUUGAACAGUGCCUAGAAGAGG
rnacentral:lncRNA from 1 species